UAAUGUUCCUGCUUGUUCCUAU
rnacentral:miRNA from 1 species